GAUGAAGAACGCAGCGAAAUGCGAUACUUGGUGUGAAUUGCAGAAUCCCGUGAACCAUCGAGUCUUUGAACGCAAGUUGCGCCUCAAGCCAUUAGGUUGAGGGCACGUCUGCCUGGGCGUCACAUAUCGUUGCCUGAUGCCAGUUUCCUCGUGAUGGGUGACUGUGCAGGGCGAAUGAUGGCUUCCCGUGAGCAUUGUUGCCUCAUGGUUGGUUGAAAAUUGAGUCCUUGGUAGGGAGCGCCGUGAUAGAUGGUGGUUGAGUGACGAACGAGACCCAAUCAUGUGAGACCCCUACCGAAUUUGGCCUUCAUGACCCACAUGCGUCUUUGGAACGCUCAUGACGAGACCUCAGGUCGGGCGGGGCUACCCGCUGAGUUUAAGCAUAUCAAUAAGCGGAGGA
rnacentral:misc_RNA from 1 species